rnacentral:rRNA from 1 species
CCUACGGGCGGCAGCAGUGAGGAAUAUUGGUCAAUGGACGAGAGUCUGAACCAGCCAAGUAGCGUGAAGGAUGACUGCCCUAUGGGUUGUAAACUUCUUUUAUAUGGGAAUAAAAUGUUCCACGUGUGGGAUUUUGUAUGUACCAUAUGAAUAAGGAUCGGCUAACUCCGAGCCAGCAGCCGCGGUAAUACGGAGGAUCCGAGCGUUAUCCGGAUUUAUUGGGUUUAAAGGGAGCGUAGGUGGAUUGUUAAGUCAGUUGUGAAAGUUUGCGGCUCAACCGUAAAAUUGCAGUUGAAACUGGCAGUCUUGAGUACAGUAGAGGUGGGCGGAAUUCGUGGUGUAGCGGUGAAAUGCUUAGAUAUCACGAAGAACUCCGAUUGCGAAGGCAGUUCACUGGACUGCAACUGACACUGAGGCUCGAAAGUGUGGGUAUCAAACAGGAUUAGAUACCCGGGUAGUC